rnacentral:rRNA from 1 species
CCUACGGGUGGCAGCAGUGAGGAAUAUUGGUCAAUGGACGAGAGUCUGAACCAGCCAAGUAGCGUGAAGGAUGACUGCCCUAUGGGUUGUAAACUUCUUUUAUAUAGGAAUAAAACAGGGCAUGCAUACCCUCUUGUAUGUACUUUAUGAAUAAGGAUCGGCUAACUCCGUGCCAGCAGCCGCGGUAAUACGGAGGAUCCGAGCGUUAUCCGGAUUUAUUGGGUUUAAAGGGAGCGUAGGUGGAUUGUUAAGUCAGUUGUGAAAGUUUGCGGCUCAACCGUAAAAUUGCAGUUGAUACUGGCAGUCUUGAGUACAGUAGAGGUAGGCGGAAUUCGUGGUGUAGCGGUGAAAUGCUUAGAUAUCACGAAGAACUCCGAUUGCGAAGGCAGCUUACUAGACUGCAACUGACAUUGAUGCUCGAAAGUGUGGGUAUCAAACAGGAUUAGAUACCCGGGUAGUC